ACUGCUCAGUAACACGUGGAUAACCUGCCCUUGGGACCGGCAUAACCCCGGGAAACUGGGGAUAAUUCCGGAUAACGCAUAUGUGCUGGAAUGCUUUAUGCGUAAAAUGGAUUCGUCUGCCCAAGGAUGGGUCUGCGGCCUAUCAGGUAGUAGUGGGUGUAAUGUACCUACUAGCCGACAACGGGUACGGGUUGUGAGAGCAAGAGCCCGGAGAUGGAUUCUGAGACAUGAAUCCAGGCCCUACGGGGCGCAGCAGGCGCGAAAACUUUACAAUGCGGGAAACCGUGAUAAGGGGACACCGAGUGCCAGCAUCAUAUGCUGGCUGUCCGGGUGUGUAAAAUACACCUGUUAGCAAGGGCCGGGCAAGACCGGUGCCAGCCGCCGCGGUAACACCGGCGGCCCGAGUGGUGAUCGUGAUUAUUGGGUCUAAAGGGUCCGUAGCCGGUUUGGUCAGUCCUCCGGGAAAUCUGAUAGCUCAACUAUUAGGCUUUCGGGGGAUACUGCCAGACUUGGAGCCGGGAGAGGUAAGAGGUACUACAGGGGUAGGAGUGAAAUCUUGUAAUCCCUGUGGGACCACCUGUGGCGAAGGCGUCUUACCAGAACGGGUUCGACGGUGAGGGACGAAAGCUGGGGGCACGAACCGGAUUAGAUACCCGGGUAGUCCCAGCCGUAAACGAUGCUCGCUAGGUGUCAGGCAUGGCGCGACCGUGUCUGGUGCCGCAGGGAAGCCGUGAAGCGAGCCACCUGGGAAGUACGGCCGCAAGGCUGAAACUUAAAGGAAUUGGCGGGGGAGCAC
rnacentral:rRNA from 1 species